GCGCCUAUGGGGUAGUAGUUAACCUGUCACUCCCCCAAAGUGAAGACCCGUGUGCAAAUCACGGUAGGCGCA